rnacentral:tRNA from 1 species
GAGGGUAUAGCUCAGUGGUAGACUGCAUGCUUAGCAUGCAUGAGGUCCUGGGUUCACUCUCCAGUAUUUCCA